rnacentral:rRNA from 1 species
GAUGAACGCUGGCGGCGUGCCUAAUACAUGCAAGUCGAGCGAACAGACGAGGAGCUUGCUCCUCUGACGUUAGCGGCGGACGGGUGAGUAACACGUGGAUAACCUACCUAUAAGACUGGGAUAACUUCGGGAAACCGGAGCUAAUACCGGAUAAUAUAUUGAACCGCAUGGUUCAAUAGUGAAAGACGGUUUUGCUGUCACUUAUAGAUGGAUCCGCGCCGCAUUAGCUAGUUGGUAAGGUAACGGCUUACCAAGGCGACGAUGCGUAGCCGACCUGAGCGGGUGGUCGGCCACACGGGAAGUGAGACACGGUCCAGACUCCUACGGGAGGCAGCAGUAGGGAAUCUUCCGCAAUGGGCGAAAGCCUGACGGAGCAACGCCGCGUGAGUGAUGAAGGUCUUCGGAUCGGAAAGCUCUGUUAUUAGGGAAGAACAAAUGUGUAAGUAACUGUGCACGUCUUGACGGUACCUAGUCAGAAAGCCACGGCUAACUACGUG